rnacentral:rRNA from 1 species
AUUGAACGCUGGCGGCAGGCCUAACACAUGCAAGUCGAGCGCGAAAGUCUUCGGAUGAGUAAAGCGGCGAACGGGUGAGUAAUGCAUGGGAAUCUGCCUGGUAGUGGGGGACAACGUCUCGAAAGGGACGCUAAUACCGCAUACGCCCUACGGGGGAAAGGGGGGGAGUCUUCGGACCUCUCGCUAUCAGAUGAGCCCAUGUCAGAUUAGCUAGUUGGUGAGGUAAAGGCUCACCAAGGCGACGAUCUGUAACUGGUCUGAGAGGAUGAUCAGUCACACUGGAACUGAGACACGGUCCAGACUCCUACGGGAGGCAGCAGUGGGGAAUAUUGGACAAUGGGGGCAACCCUGAUCCAGCCAUGCCGCGUGUGUGAAGAAGGCCCUAGGGUUGUAAAGCACUUUCGCAAGGAAGAAACUUAACCUCUAACAUAGGUUGAGGCUGACGGUACCUUGAUAAGAAGCACCGGCUAACUACGUGCCAGCAGCCGCGGUAA